AACACUGAAGUUGAAGCAGAGGAAAAAAGCAGCUGCAGUGAGUGUGGAAAUCGGGCAAUGGAAGGAGGCGCACAGUAUAAUCCUCGCACUGUGGAGGAAGUUUUUAGGGAUCUCAAAGGCCGUCGUACCGGCUUAAUCAAAGCCCUCACCGCUGAUGUGGAGGAAUUUUAUCAGCAGUGUGACCCUG